rnacentral:rRNA from 1 species
UACGUAGGGACCAAGCGUUGUUCGGAUUUACUGGGCGUAAAGGGCGCGUAGGCGGCGUGACAAGUCACUUGUGAAAUCUCUGAGCUUAACUCAGAACGGCCAAGUGAAACUGUUGUGCUAGAGUGCAGAAGGGGCAAUCGGAAUUCUUGGUGUAGCGGUGAAAUGCGUAGAUAUCAAGAGGAACACCUGAGGUGAAGACGGGUUGCUGGGCUGACACUGACGCUGAAGCGCGAAAGCCAGGGGAGCGAACGGG